rnacentral:rRNA from 1 species
UACGUAGGCAGCGAGCGUUGUUCGGAGUUACUGGGCGUAAAGGGUGUGUAGGCGGUUGCUUAAGUUUGGUGUGAAAUCUCCCGGCUCAACUGGGAGGGUGCGCCGAAUACUGAAUGACUUGGAGUGCGGGAGAGGAGAGUGGAAUUCCUGGUGUAGCGGUGAAAUGCGUAGAUAUCAGGAGGAACACCGGUGGUGUAGACGGCUCUCUGGACCGUAACUGACGCUGAGACACGAAAGCGUGGGUAGCAAACAGG